GCCGGCAUGGCGCAACUGGCAGCGCACCCGACUUGUAAUCGGGCGGUUAGGGGUUCGAGUCCCCUUGCCGGCUCCC
rnacentral:tRNA from 1 species